UACGUAGGGACCAAGCGUUGUUCGGAUUUACUGGGCGUAAAGGGCGCGUAGGCGGCGCGACAAGUCACUUGUGAAAUCUCCGGGCUUAACUCGGAACGGCCAAGUGAUACUGUCGUGCUAGAGUGCAGAAGGGGCAAUCGGAAUUCUUGGUGUAGCGGUGAAAUGCGUAGAUAUCAAGAGGAACACCUGAGGUGAAGACGGGUUGCUGGGCUGACACUGACGCUGAAGCGCGAAAGCUAGGGGAGCAAACGGG
rnacentral:rRNA from 1 species